rnacentral:rRNA from 1 species
UCUAGCGAUGCCGCGUGAGUGACGAAGGCCUUAGGGUCGUAAAGCUCUUUCGCCAGGGGAUGAUAAUGACAGUACCUGGUAAAGAAACCCCGGCUAACUCCGUGCCAGCAGCCGCGGUAAUACGGAGGGGUUAGCGUUGUUCGGAAUUACUGGGCGUAAAGCGCACGUAGGCGGAUUGGAAAGUUGGGGUGAAAUCCCGGGGCUCAACCCGGAACUGCCUCCAAAACUAAUCAGUCUAGAGUUCGAGAGAGGUGAGUGGAAUUCCGAGUGUAGAGGUGAAAUUCGUAGAUAUUCGGAGGAACACCAGUGGCGAAGGCGGCUCACUGGCUCGAUACUGACGCUGAGGUGCGAAAGUGUGGGGAGCAAACAGGAUUAGAUACCCUGGUAG